UCCAAUCAGGUAGGACUACCCGCUGAACUUANCCUAUCAAUAAG
rnacentral:rRNA from 1 species